UACGUAGGUGGCAAGCGUUGUCCGGAUUUACUGGGCGUAAAGAGCGCGCAGGCGGUCGUUCAAGUCGAGUGUGAAAGCCCCCGGCUCAACUGGGGAGGGUCAUUCGAUACUGAUCGACUCGAAGGCAGGAGAGGGAAGCGGAAUUCCCGGUGUAGUGGUGAAAUGCGUAGAUAUCGGGAGGAACACCAGUGGCGAAGGCGGCUUGCC
rnacentral:rRNA from 1 species